GUCCUUAGUUACCAGCACGUUAUGGUGGGCACUCUAAGGAGGACUGCCGGUGGACAAACCGGAGGAAGUGGGGAUGACGUCAAGUCAUCAUGGCCCUUACGGCCUGGGCUACACACGUGCUACAAUGGUCGGUACAAAGGGUUGCCAAGCCGCGAGGUGGAGCUAAUACCCAUAAAACCGAUCGUAGUCCGGAUCGCAGUCUGCAACUCGACUGCGUGAAGUCGGAAUCGCUAGUAAUCGUGAAUCAGAAUGUCACGGUGAAUACGUUCCCGGGCCUU
rnacentral:rRNA from 1 species